AGGGAGGUGGUGUCUAACUGGUUUAACAUACUAGUCUCCGAAGCUGGUGCUCUAGGUUCGAAUCCUAGCCUCCCUG
rnacentral:tRNA from 1 species